GAUGAACGCUGGCGGCGUGCCUAAUACAUGCAAGUCGAGCGAACAGACGUGGAGCUUGCUCCUCUGACGUUAGUGGCGGACGGGUGAGUAACACGUGGAUAACCUACAUAUAAGACUGGGAUAACUUCGGGAAACCGGAGCUAAUACCGGAUAAUAUAUUGAACCGCAUGGUUCAAUAGUGAAAGACGGUCUUGCUGUCACUUAUAGAUGGAUCCGCGCCGCUUUAGCUAGUGGGUAAGGUAACGGCUUACCAAGGCAACGAUGCGUAGCCGACCUGAGAGGGUGAUCGGCCACACUGGAACUGAGACACGGUCCAGACUCCUACGGGAGGCAGUAGUAGGGAAUCUUCCGCAAUGGGCGAAAGCCUGACGGAGCAACGCCGCGUGAGUGAAGAAGGUCUUCGGAUCGUAAAACUCUGUUAUUAGGGAAGAACAAAUGUGUAAGUAACUAUGCACGUCUUGACGGUACCUAAUCAGAAAGCCACGGCUAACUACGUG
rnacentral:rRNA from 1 species